GCCGGGCAGUGGCACGUGCCUGUAGUCCCAGCUAUUCAGGAGGCUGAGGUUGGAGGAUCUCGAGUCCAGGAGUUCUGGGCUGUAGUGCACUAUGCCGAUUGGGUGUCUGCACUGAGUUUGGCAUCAAUAUGGUGACCUCCCGGGAGCGGGGGACCACCAGGUUGCCUAAGGAGGGGUGAACCGGUCCAGGUCGGAAACGAAGCAGGCCAAAACUCCCGUGCUGAUCAGUAGUGGGAUCGUGCCUGUGUAACAGCCACUGCACUCAAGCCUGGGCAACAUAGUGAGACCCCAUAUCU
rnacentral:SRP_RNA from 1 species